rnacentral:rRNA from 1 species
UACAGAGGGGGCAAGCGUUGUUCGGAAUUACUGGGCGUAAAGGGCGCGUAGGCGGCCUUCUAAGUCGAACGUGAAAUCCCUGGGCUCAACCCACGGACUGCGUCCGAUACUGGAAGGCUUGAAUCCGGGAGAGGGAUGCGGAAUUCCAGGUGUAGCGGUGAAAUGCGUAGAUAUCUGGAGGAACACCGGUGGCGAAGGCGGCAUCCUGGACCGGUAUUGACGCUGAGGCGCGGAAAGCCCAGGGGAGCAAAGCGGG